rnacentral:lncRNA from 1 species
GUAUAAUGUGUGUAUGUCAAUCAAUUUUUCCCUCUAGAACUUAAAAAAAAUAAAUUGUAAUGAACACUCAACUGUAUCAGUCACUUACUAUCUUUUGUGCUUUAAGAAUUUGCCUCUCCUGCCCAGUUUGGCAUCUCUAGACUGCUGUACUGUGUCACCAAAUCUGUAACUUUAAAUUUCUGAUGGCAUCCGGAAUCUUGGUUAAGUUUGGACUUCCUCUCGUAUCAUGGUUUGCUCCUUCUCAUUGUAGUCUAGUUUCCUCUAUUCCUACAUGAAUAGAAAUUUGGUAAUAUAGAGCUGUUUACCUUUCCUAUUUUUUGCCCAUUAU